GGAUUGUGGUUCAGCGGUAGAAUGCUCGCCUAGCAUGGGUGGGACCCGGGUCCGAUUCUCAGCACCA
rnacentral:tRNA from 1 species